GUAGGACGCGAGCGUUAUCCGGAUUUACUGGGCGUAAAGCGUGUGUAGGCGGCGUGACAAGUUGGGCGUGAAAGCCCCGUGCUCAACGCGGGGAGGCCGCACAAUACUGUCAGGCUAGAGGGCAUCAGAGGGGUGUGGAAUUCCCGGAGUAGCGGUAAAAUGCGCAGAUAUCGGGAGGAACACCGGUGGCGAAAGCGGCACCCUGGGGUGCACCUGACGCUGAGAGACGACAGCUAGGGGAGCGAACAGGAUUAGAGACCCUGGUAGUCCUAGCCGUAAACGAUGGAUGCUAGGUGUGGGAGUGAAGAACUUCUGUGCCGCAGCGAACGCGAUAAGCAUCCCGCCUGGGGAGUACGGCCGCAAGGUUAAAACUCAAACGAAUUGACGGGGACCCGCACAAGCAGCGGAGCGUGUGGUUUAAUUCGAUGCUACACGAAGAACCUUACCUGGGAUUGACAUAUGGGUGGUAGUGAGCCGAAAGGCAAGCGACCCUUCGGGGAGCCUAUACAGGUGCUGCAUGGCUGUCGUCAGCUCGUGCCGUGAGGUGUCGGGUUAAGUCCCGUAACGAGCGCAACCCCUGUCCUUAGUUACAAGUGUCUAAGGGGACUGCCGGCGGGAAGCCGGAGGAAGGUGGGGAUGACGUCAAGUCAGCAUGGCCCUUAUAUCCAGGGCGACACACACGCUACAAUGGUCGGUACAGAGGGCAGCGAAGCCGCGAGGUGGAGCGAAACCCAGAAAGCCGGUCGUAGUUCGGAUUGCAGGCUGCAACUCGCCUGCAUGAAGUUGGA
rnacentral:rRNA from 1 species